UGCAAGUCGAGCGGACAGAUGGGGAGCUUGCUCCCUGAUGUUAGCGGCGGACGGGUGAGUAACACGUGGGUAACCUGCCUGUAAGACUGGGAUAACUCCGGGAAACCGGGGCUAAUACCGGAUGGUUGUUUGAACCGCAUGGUUCAAACAUAAAAGGUGGCUUCGGCUACCACUUACAGAUGGACCCGCGGCGCAUUAGCUAGUUGGUGAGGUAACGGCUCACCAAGGCAACGAUGCGUAGCCGACCUGAGAGGGUGAUCGGCCACACUGGGACUGAGACACGGCCCAGACUCCUACGGGAGGCAGCAGUAGGGAAUCUUCCGCAAUGGACGAAAGUCUGACGGAGCAACGCCGCGUGAGUGAUGAAGGUUUUCGGAUCGUAAAGCUCUGUUGUUAGGGAAGAACAAGUACCGUUCGAAUAGGGCGGUACCUUGACGGUACCUAACCAGAAAGCCACGGCUAACUACGUGCCAGCAGCCGCGGUAAUACGUAGGUGGCAAGCGUUGUCCGGAAUUAUUGGGCGUAAAGGGCUCGCAGGCGGUUUCUUAAGUCUGAUGUGAAAGCCCCCGGCUCAACCGGGGAGGGUCAUUGGAAACUGGGGAACUUGAGUGCAGAAGAGGAGAGUGGAAUUCCACGUGUAGCGGUGAAAUGCGUAGAGAUGUGGAGGAACACCAGUGGCGAAGGCGACUCUCUGGUCUGUAACUGACGCUGAGGAGCGAAAGCGUGGGGAGCGAACAGGAUUAGAUACCCUGGUAGUCCACGCCGUAAACGAUGAGUGCUAAGUGUUAGGGGGUUUCCGCCCCUUAGUGCUGCAGCUAACGCAUUAAGCACUCCGCCUGGGGAGUACGGUCGCAAGACUGAAACUCAAAGGAAUUGACGGGGGCCCGCACAAGCGGUGGAGCAUGUGGUUUAAUUCAAAGCAACGCGAAGAACCUUACCAGGUCUUGACAUCCUCUGACAAUCCU
rnacentral:rRNA from 1 species